ACAUCCAAUCCAGUUGCACCAGAAGUGGAAAUCGAUCUAGCAAAACUAAUAACGCCCGCAGAUUUACUUCGUGCAAAAAAUGCUGGAUUCCCAGAAAGAGACAUUUUUUUGCUAGUAACUUCCGGCCUGACAGUUGACGAAAUGCUCAAAAUGAAGGAGAUACGGUUGAAAGAUGGGAACGAUGCCUUUGAACGUUUGACUAAAUGGUGCGAAAUUUUGACUCCUGGACUGAAAAUUGCGUCUAAUUAUACUGUCGCCCAACAAGCGAACUUUGUCAAUGUAAUGGGUGCAGCAGAUCUACUGCCGAACAACGAAAGAUUUCCCUUUUAUCGGACCUCGUUGUGUAACCGCCUUGGUCAACCAAAUUUAAAUUCAUUUAAUCCAAAAUUUGUUCCUCACACCAUUAUUCGUUGGUUAAAGAGAAACAGUGAAAGAUAUUCUAGCCUAGAACGUGUUAAAAUUAGUAAAGUAAUGUGCUGCUUCGAGGGGCUUGAGGAUAAUGUAAAAUAUGAAAACUUAAGGGGAUUUAGUGAACAUGUAAACAAUGUAGUUGUGAAUGGAUUGAGCGAUGUAGAUAUGAAUGAAUUCGCAGAACAAUGGAAUCAUUUCGAUACCACAAAUGUA